CCUACGGGAGGCAGCAGUGAGGAAUAUUGGUCAAUGGGCGAGAGCCUGAACCAGCCAAGUCGCGUGAAGGAAGAAUGUCCUAUGGAUUGUAAACUUCUUUUGUAGGGGGAUAAAAAAGAGUACGAGUACUCUAUUGUAGGUACCCUACGAAUAAGGAUCGGCUAACUCCGUGCCAGCAGCCGCGGUAAU
rnacentral:rRNA from 1 species